UACAGAGGGUGCGAGCGUUGUCCGGAAUCACUGGGCGUAAAGGGCGCGUAGGUGGCGGGACAAGCGUGCGGUGAAAGCCUGGGGCUCAACCCCGGGUCGGCCGUGCGAACUGUUUUGCUUGAGCACUGUAGAGGCAGGCGGAAUUCCGGGUGUAGCGGUGGAAUGCGUAGAGAUCCGGAAGAACACCGGUGGCGAAGGCGGCCUGCUGGGCAGUUGCUGACACUGAGGCGCGACAGCGUGGGGAGCAAACAGG
rnacentral:rRNA from 1 species